AUUGAACGCUGGCGGCAGGCUUAACACAUGCAAGUCGAGCGGGGGAAGGUAGCUUGCUACUGGACCUAGCGGCGGACGGGUGAGUAAUGCUUAGAAAUCUGCCUAUUAGUGGGGGACAACAUCUCGAAAGGGAUGCUAAUACCGCAUACGUCCUACGGGAGAAAGCAGGGGAUCUUCGGACCUUGCGCUAAUAGAUGAGCCUAAGUCGGAUUAGCUAGUUGGUGGGGUAAAGGCCUACCAAGGCGACGAUCUGUAGCGGGUCUGAGAGGAUGAUCCGCCACACUGGGACUGAGACACGGCCCAGACUCCUACGGGAGGCAGCAGUGGGGAAUAUUGGACAAUGGGGGGAACCCUGAUCCAGCCAUGCCGCGUGUGUGAAGAAGGCCUUAUGGUUGUAAAGCACUUUAAGCGAGGAGGAGGCUACACUAGUUAAUACCUAGGGAUAGUGGACGUUACUCGCAGAAUAAGCACCGGCUAACUCUGUGCCAGCAGCCGCAGUAA
rnacentral:rRNA from 1 species